ensembl:lncRNA LINC01597 long intergenic non-protein coding RNA 1597
GGAAACCAGACGACCCAGCGGCCAUGGGACGAGCCGCCCCAACUCAACCCCAGCAGGACGCUGGAGGGGCCUCCCUCCCCCGCCUCUCUUCGCCGGCGCUGGCCUCCCGCACCCGGGUCUGCAGUCCCUCCGCCAUCUCGCAGGUGUGCGGCCGCUAGGCCUGGGGGAUCCGAAUGACUGGGGCUGGAUAGGAAUGCCUUCGUGUUUCCCAAGACCCCUGGGCCUGCUCCACAAAGUUUGAAGGGUGGGUACACACCAACCCAGGCAAGUUGCUCCCCCAAACCCAUGACUGACUAAUCUGAUAUGACAAAAGCCCAUGAUGGAUUUGGUAUAUGUUAAUUCACAAUGCCCUUUCCUCCAGAAUUUAACUAUAAGUUAAUACACACCGGAAACCACGCGCAUACACGCUCCUUAAUGGGCUUAGGUAUUAGCGAGUCCUAACGAUGCAUACAAAUGUGCUCUGCGCUCUGUAGAACCCUCAAGAUUUAUGUGCCUUGAGCUCUCUGAAGCUGUAAACAAGGAGAAAAAAAAAAAGAGAAAGCGAAAGCGACUGGGGGGAAGAGACAGAGGCCUGACUCGCCCCUCCAGGUUGUGGAGAGAAGGGAUUCUUUAUGUAUUUUCCUUUCCUUGCAAGCUCGGUGCGUGUGGGUUUUGGCGUUGGUCUGGGGGUGGUGUUCUGCCUGAAUGCUGGUGUGCGUGGGCAGUGUGUUGUUUGAGUGCUGCGGUAGGAUGCCUGCCUCUUCGGAUUGCUGUGCAGGGGCCUGAACACAGCAGGCAUUUGUGAGCAUAUAUGCAUGAGUGUGCACUGUGUUAGGGUGUGUGUGUGUGUAUGUGCGUGUGAGAAAGAGAGAGAGACAGAGAGGGAGAGGCAGGCUUCCCCCUGGGCCAGGCUGCUGUCCCCUGAACAGUGGUGAACAAAUCUCUAACAACAAUCAUAAUAACAAUAAAUAAUGAAUAAUAAUAAUAAAACAGUAGUUAACAGUCCCUCCAUAACAGAAUAACAAUAAAAUGCAAGAGGAAAUAUUUUGAGGUGGAGACAGAAGGAGUCAGGAUCACAGCAUCUGAGGGGGAGAUAGGAAAGGAAGGGAGGAAGAAAUCUUAAUAUGCUCUUGGUGGGGCUGGGGUUGGGAACCCCUUUCCCAGACAAGGGACGGAAGAGGGGAAGGAGAGCCAGAGACCACUCUUUAUUGCUUUUUUUCUCAGGCUUCUGCUUUGUGUGAUCAGAGAAGGGAUCCCACAUAUGGGAAUGGUUAGUGGCUUUUGGGACUCUCCAGGAGCCUCUGUUUUAAGAAUGAGGCCAAAUGUGCAGGCUCAGGCCAAGCGGCAGAGAUGAAUGAGGUGAUGACCACAGCCUUGAUCCGGCAGGAGCUCAGAGAUGCCCGGGAAGACGGGGGGCCCGAACGGAAGCAGAAAAACACUUAUGGCCGCUGGGAAGUUGGGAGAGCGAGGCUGGGGCUCUGGCAGGCCCAGGGAAAGUUCCCUGUCUAGGCUCUUUAUUAAAAAAUUUAAAAGGAGGAGUUGAGGCACCUUGAAUAUUCCUUCGCGAGUUUGGAGACUAGCCGAUUUUUCAUGAAGCAAGCAAAGACCGCGGUCCCGGAUCCUGCAACUUCUACCUCAUUUUCUCCAGGCCUCUCCACUUGCCCGAGCUCUCAGCCACCAGGAGACAGACGGAAGGGGCUUCUGGAUUGCGUUGGGAGCGGGCACUGUCCCCUACCCACUCCUGCUCAGUUUCCCAAAGUCCAGCGACUUCCGACCCUCCUUGGGGGGAAAAAUACCAGUACCCAGACACCUUUGCACCCUGUUAUAUGACUGGGCUUGCUUCAGGAAUAUCUUACAAAGAAGAAGAAGAAGAAAGAACGGCUUGGAGUCAUGUUUACAUCUAGUUCUACUGAUCCGUUCACAUCUGGAGAGUUUAUUUAUAACUCCCUCUAUAACUCUCUGUUUGGAGACACUGUGGCUCUAUUGACAGACUGAUAUCUAGGAAAUAUUGCUCUAUGUCUAACCGUACCUAAAUGUGCUGUGGUUGUAUUUACAGAUUUAUGUUUGAGGGAAAUAUAACUAUUUCCAUUGUAUUUGUGCAUAUACAGUAGUUAUAGGAGCAGAUUUAUAUAUGGGAAAAUAUACGACUCUCUUACAGCCAUCCAGCUUUAUGUACAUUUGAUAUCCUGACAGAUUUAUAUCUCUGAACAGCUAUAUAGAUAAAAACGUAUAUUGUUAG